rnacentral:lncRNA from 1 species
ACAACCUGAGGCCCAGCCUGGUUAGUACUCAGACUUCCUGAGGCCCCUCCUCCUCAAGAUCUUGCCUCCCCAGGGCCUCAACUCAAUCAGGGCCUCUCUAAGCUCCACUCCAAGCCUGAUUCUGGUUGGCCAAGCUCCUUCCCUGUCCAUGGGUUUGUCUUGCUCUUUCAUCCCAAGUGUUUCUCCUCGGAGGCAGAAAAAGCCCCUGGGAAUUAUGAAGGGUCACCACAUACCAGAGGAAAUAUGAAGCAGCAGCUUUGAAGACUGAGCAACCAAUUGAGGCAUCCCCAACCCAACUGGGCUUAAUGCAGCUUCACUGAACCUGAUCUGAGACUCACAGCUCCCCGGGA